CAGUGUGACUCGUCACACUAUCAUUAACUGAAUCCAUAGGUUAAUGAGGCGAACCGGGGGAACUGAAACAUCUAAGUACCCCGAGGAAAAGAAAUCAACCGAGAUUCCCCCAGUAGCGGCGAGCGAACGGGGAGGAGCCCAGAGCCUGAAUCAGCAUGUGUGUUAGUGGAAGCGUCUGGAAAGGCGCGCGAUACAGGGUGACAGCCCCGUACACAAAAGCGCAUGUGCUGUGAGCUCGAUGAGUAGGGCGGGACACGUGGUAUCCUGUCUGAAUAUGGGGGGACCAUCCUCCAAGGCUAAAUACUCCUGACUGACCGAUAGUGAACCAGUACCGUGAGGGAAAGGCGAAAAGAACCCCGGCGAGGGGAGUGAAAAAGAACCUGAAACCGUGUACGUACAAGCAGUGGGAGCACAGGUUUACCUGUGUGACUGCGUACCUUUUGUAU
rnacentral:rRNA from 1 species